rnacentral:rRNA from 1 species
UACGUAGGCAGCGAGCGUUGUUCGGAGUUACUGGGCGUAAAGGGUGUGUAGGCGGUUUUCUAAGUUUGGUGUGAAAUCUCCCGGCUCAACCGGGAGGGUGCGCCGAAAACUGGGAGACUAGAGUGCGGGAUGGGAGAGUAGAAUUCCUGGUGUAGCGGUGAAAUGCGUAGAUAUCAGGAGGAAUACCGGUGGUGUAGACGGCUCUCUGGACCGCCACUGACGCUGAGGCGCGAAAGCGUGGGGAGCAAACAGG